rnacentral:rRNA from 1 species
AGCCUAAUAGCUAGCCCAGCCGAACAAGCACAACACUCACAUAUUUAUAAACCCUAAAACACCUAACAGCAUAAAUAAAUCAUUCUCCCUCCUGAGUAUAGGCGAUAGAAAAGGGACUAGGCGCAAUAGAAAAAGUACCGUAAGGGAAAGCUGAAAGAGAAGUGAAACAACUCAGUAAAGCACAAAGAAGCAGAGCUUUUCCCUCGUACCUUUUGCAUCAUGUUUUAGCUAGAGCCCCUCAAGCGAAAAGCAUUUUAGUUUGACCACCCGAAACUAGGUGAGCUACUCCAAGACAGCCUGACAAUAGGGCCAACCCGUCUCUGUGGCAAAAGAGUGGGAAGAGCUUCGAGUAGAGGUGACAGACCUACCGAGCCUAGUUAUAGCUGGUUACCUGGGAAUUGAAUAGAAGUUCAGCCUCUUGAAUUCUUUCCUCCCCGAUAGUAAUUCUAAGUCGAGACACAAAGAAAUCUAGAGAGUUAGUCAAAGGGGGUACAGCCCCUUUGAAACAAGACACAACUUUAUUAGGAGGAUAAGGAUCAAACUCAAAUCAAGGUUAAACAUUUCGGUGGGCCUAAAAGCAGCCACCCCUAGAAGAAAGCGUUAAAGCUCAAAUGUACCCAAAACCCUUAAUUCUGAUCAUAAAUUCCUACCCCCCCUUGCCCUACCAGGUCUUCCGAUAUCUUUUAUCGGAGCGACCAUGCUAAUAUGAGUAACAAGAGAGCCUAGACUCUCUCCGUGCACACGUGUAACUCGAAACGGACCUUCCACCGAACAUUAACGGCCCCAAUAAAAGAGGGCAUCGGGCUACAAAUAGAGAACUAGAAAAUCGCCCGAGAAUUACCGUUAACCCCACACUGGUGCGCUCACACGGAAAGACCUAAAGAAAGAGAAGGAACUCGGCAAAAAUACUUAAAGCCUCGCCUGUUUACCAAAAACAUCGCCUCUUGUAUACUAGAAAUAAGAGGUCCCGCCUGCCCUGUGACUAUAAGUUUAACGGCCGCGGUAUUUUGACCGUGCGAAGGUAGC